rnacentral:rRNA from 1 species
ACGCUCGACACCUACGCGAGGCAGCAGUGGGGAAUAUUGCACAAUGGGGGAAACCCGUGAUGCAGCGACGCCGCGUGAGCGAAGAAGUAUUUCGGUAUGUAAAGCUCUAUCAGCAGGGAAGAAACCGACGGUACCUGACUAAGAAGCACCGGCUAAAUACGUGUCAGCAGCAGCGGUAAUCUGAGCGGGCUGGCAAGGC